UACGUAGGGGGCUAGCGUUGUCCGGAAUCAUUGGGCGUAAAGAGCGUGUAGGCGGUCCGGUAAGUCCGUUGUGAAAGUCAAGGGCUCAACCCUUGAAUGCCGGCGGAUACUGUCGGGCUAGAGUCCGGAAGAGGCGAGUGGAAUUCCUGGUGUAGCGGUGGAAUGCGCAGAUAUCAGGAGGAACACCAAUAGCGAAGGCAGCUCGCUGGGACGGUACUGACGCUAAGGCGCGAAAGCGUGGGGAGCGAACAGG
rnacentral:rRNA from 1 species